rnacentral:piRNA from 1 species
UUCCAGUACACUUCCACCUGUGGCCGCCC